CAUAGCGUAAUGAAGCGAACCGGGGGAACUGAAACAUCUAAGUACCCCGAGGAAAAGAAAUCAACCGAGAUUCCCCCAGUAGCGGCGAGCGAACGGGGAGCAGCCCAGAGUCUGAAUCAGCUUGUGUGUUAGUGGAACGGUCUGGAAAGUCCGACGGUACAGGGUGAUAGUCCCGUACACCAAAAUGCACAGGUUGUGAACUCGAAGAGUAGGGCGGGACACGUGGUAUCCUGUCUGAAUAUGGGGGGACCAUCCUCCAAGGCUAAAUACUCCUGACUGACCGAUAGUGAACCAGUACCGUGAGGGAAAGGCGAAAAGAACCCCGGCGAGGGGAGUGAAAAAGAACCUGAAACCGUGUACGUACAAGCAGUGGGAGCCUACUUGUUAGGUGACUGCGUACCUUUUGUAUAAUGGGUCAGCGACUUAUAUUCUGUAGCAAGGUUAACCGUAUAGGGGAGCCGAAGGGAAACCGAGUCUUAACUGGGCGUUAAGUUGCAGGGUAUAGACCCGAAACCCGGUGAUCUAGCCAUGGGCAGGUUGAAGGUUGGGUAACACUAACUGGAGGACCGAACCGACUAAUGUUGAAAAAUUAGCGGAUGACUUGUGGCUGGGGGUGAAAGGCCAAUCAAACCGGGAGAUAGCUGGUUCUCCCCGAAAGCUAUUUAGGUAGCGCCUCGUGAA
rnacentral:rRNA from 1 species